rnacentral:rRNA from 1 species
AUUGAACGCUGGGGGCGUGCUUAACACAUGCAAGUCGAACGUGAAAGUCCUUCGGGAUGAGUAAAGUGGCGCACGGGUGAGUAACGCGUGGAUAAUCUACCUUCAAGACGGGGAUAACGGUUGGAAACGGCCGCUAAUACCGGAUACGCUAUAUAUUAUAACGUUAUAUAGGAAAUGAUAGCCUCUGCUUGCAAGCUAUUGCUUGAAGAUGAGUCCGCGUCCCAUUAGCUAGUUGGUGAAAUAAAAGCNCACCAAGGCAACGANGGGNAGCCGNNCNAAGAGGANGANCGGCCACACUAAAACNGGAACACAAUCCACACUCCUACACAAACCAACACUAAAAAAUAUUACACAAUAAACAAAAACCUAACACAACAACACCACAUAAAAAAUAAAAUUCUUCCAAUCAUAAACCUCUAUCACAACACAACAACUCUAUCUAUUCAAAUAAAAUAAACAUUUAACAAUACCCUCAAAAAAAACACCAACUAACUCCAUACCAACAACCACAAUAAUACACAACAUACAAACAUUAAUCAAAAUUACUNAUCAUAAAACACACAUAAAUAAUUUUAUAAAUCAAAAACAAAAUCCCACCNCUCAACAAUANAACACCCUUUAAUACUCCAUCACUAAAAUAUCAAAAACACUCCNNAAAUUCCAAUNNUANNANUAAAAUCCNUACAUAUCUGGAAAAACACCACUAACAAAACCCUCCACCUCACAANAAACUNACACUNACUCCNNAAANCAUNNNAACCUUUAAGGAUUAGAUACCCUGGUAGUCCAUGCUGUAAACGAUGGGUGCUAGGUGCUGGGGAGAUAAAUUUUCAGUGCCGUAGUUAACGCGUUAAGCACCCCGCCUGGGGAGUACGGUCGCAAGGCUGAAACUCAAAGAAAUUGACGGGGGCCCGCACAAGCGGUGGAGUAUGUGGUUUAAUUCGAUGCAACGCGAAGAACCUUACCCAGGCUUGACAUCCAGGGGACCUCUAGGAAAUUAGAGGGUGCCCUUCGGGGAGCCCUGAGACAGGCGCUGCAUGGCUGUCGUCAGCUCGUGCCGUGAGGUGUUGGGUUAAGUCCCGCAACGAGCGCAACCCUUAUCUUUAGCUGCCAGCGAGUAAAGUUGGGCACUCUAGAGAGACUGCCCCGGUUAACGGGGAGGAAGGUGGGGACGACGUCAAGUCAUCAUGGCCCUUACGCCUGGGGCUACACACGUACUACAAUGGUGCGCACAAAGGGAAGCAAGACCGUGAGGUGGAGCCAAUCCCAAAAAACGCAUCUCAGUCCGGAUUGGAGUCUGCAACUCGACUCCAUGAAGUCGGAAUCGCUAGUAAUUCGAGAUCAGCAUGCUCGGGUGAAUGCGUUCCCGGGCCUUGUACACACCGCCCGUCACACCACGAAAGUUGGUUUUACCCGAAGCCGGCGAGCUAACGAGCAAUC